AGUGAACGCUGGCGGUAGGCCUAACACAUGCAAGUCGAACGGCAGCACAGUAAGAGCUUGCUCUUACGGGUGGCGAGUGGCGGACGGGUGAGGAAUACAUCGGAAUCUACUUUUUCGGGGGGGAUAACGUAGGGAAACUUACGCUAAUACCGCAUACGACCUACGGGUGAAAGCAGGGGAACUUCGGACCUUGCGCGAUUGAAUGAGCCGAUGUCGGAUUAGCUAGUUGGCGGGGUAAAGGCCCACCAAGUCGACGAUCCGUAGCUGGUCUGAGAGGAUGAUCAGCCACACUGGAACUGAGACACGGUCCAGACUCCUACGGGAGGCAGCAGUGGGGAAUAUUGGACAAUGGGCGCAAGCCUGAUCCAGCCAUACCGCGUGGGUGAAGAAGGCCUUCGGGUUGUAAAGCCCUUUUGUUGGGAAAGAAAAGCAGCAGGUUAAUACCACGCUGUUCUGACGGUACCCAAAGAAUAAGCACCGGCUAACUUCGUG
rnacentral:rRNA from 1 species